rnacentral:lncRNA from 1 species
GGGGGGGGGGGGGGGCUAGGAUGAAAAAUUUUGUCCUGCUUUUUUUUUUAGCUGUAAUCUCUAUCCUGCCUUUUUAUUUUUCACUCUGUUCGGUCCUGCCUUUUUUUUUUUAGUUUAAUCUGACUUUUUUUUUUUUACCUAAAUCGUCGUCCUGACUAUUUUUUUUGCAAGUGUCUCAUCCUGCCUUUUUUUUUUACUCAAAACUCCUGUCCUGCCUAUUUUUUUCAAAUUUCAUCCUAGCCCCCCCCAUAAAAAUCAAAUGGUAGCUCCCUUAACAAGAUAGAGA